rnacentral:rRNA from 1 species
UGGGGGAUAUUGCACAAUGGGCGAAAGCCUGAUGCAGCGACGCCGCGUGGGGGAUGAAGGCUUUCGGGUUGUAAACCUCUUUCGCUAUCGAACAAGGCCCGCUUAGGGUGGGUUGAGGGUAGGUGGAGAAGAAGCGCCGGCUAACUACGUGCCAGCAGCCGCGGUAUACGUAGGGCGCGAGCGUUGUCCGGAAUUAUUGGGCGUAAAGGGCUUGUAGGCGGCUUGUUGCGCCUGCUGUGAAAACGCGGGGCUUAACUUCGCGCGUGCAGUUGGUACGGGCAGGCUUGAGUGUGGUAGGGGUGACUGGAAUUCCAGGUGUAGCGGUGGAAUGCGCAGAUAUCUGGAGGAACACCGAUGGCGAAGGCAGGGCACUGGGCCAUUACUGACGCUGAGGAGCGAAAGCAUGGGUAGCGAACAGG